AGUGAACGCUGGCGGUAGGCCUAACACAUGCAAGUCGAACGGCAGCACAGUAAGUGCUUGCUCUUACGUGUGGCGAGUGUCGGACGGGUGAGGAAUACAUCGGAAUCUACUUUUUCGUGGGGGCUAAUGUCGGGUAACUUACGCUAAUACCGCAUACGACCUACGGGUGAAAGCAGGGGAUCUUUGGACCUUGCGCGAUUGAAUGAGCCGAUGUCGGCUUAGCUCGUUGGCGGGGCAAAGGCGCACCAAGGCGACGAUCCGUAGCUGGUCUGAGAGGGUGUUCAGCCAGACGGGAACUGAGACACGGUCCAGACUCCGACAGGGGGCAGCAGUGGAGAAUAUUAGACAAUGGAGGCGAGCCUGAUCCAGCCAUACCGGGUGAGGGAAGAAGGCGUUCGGGUUGGAAAGCCCUUUUGUUGGGAGAGAAAAGCAGCAGGUUAAUACCCCACUGUUCUGACGGUACCCAAAGAAUAAGCUCCGGCUAACUUCGUG
rnacentral:rRNA from 1 species